GCCAAGAUUACACCACUGCACUCUAGCCUGGCGACAGAGAGACACUCCGUCUCAAAAAAAAAAAAAAAAAAAGAAAGAAUAGUAGUUGUUCUCAAUGGUGGGGGGGUGAUUCUGUCCCCAGGGGACACUGGGCUAUGUCUCGGGACAUCUGUGGUCAUGAUGACAGGGAGUGCUCCUGGCAUGGAGUGGGUGAAGGGCAGGGACGCUGCUCAGCACCCUGCAAUGCCCAGGACAGCCCCACCCCAGAGAAUGGCUUGGCCCCAACAUCCAUAGUGCCCAAGAGGAGAGACCCUAGCUUGGAGAUAGGAACUGAAAUAUUUACAGGCUUAGUGUUUAAUUCCUAAAGCGGAUUUCCUCUGUAAUCAGGGGGAAAAAAAAAAAAGGAGUGAAGUGGAGAAACUGCACUCCCGGGAGACGUUGCACAUUCCCAAGCCCACGCUGCACCUCACACGCCGCAGGGAGCAAUGUCCCCCUAGUGGCCCCUCGCCAAGAGAGAAGGAGUCUCGCUCCGUCACCUAGGCUGGACUCAAACUCCUGGUCUCAAGCAACUCCCCCGUCUCAGCCUCCCAAAGCACUGGGAUUACUGUGAGCCACCAUGCCUGGCCCAGACACCAAAUGUGAAGGUAUAAGAACUUCCAGAGAUGGCAAAGCACCCACACCGCCCUCGUGCUAAAGUUUCUGGAAUCUUCCUUAGACGGGUGAACUGUGUGCUGCCAGAAAUAAAAUUAAUAGCCUCACUUUUUUGGGUGCUUACAAGGGUUGGAACUUCAAGAAAUGGUCAUGAAUUCACUCCAGCCCUGGCUCAAAGGCUUUUUUUUCUUUCUUCCCUUCUUCUUCCCCCUACUCCCUUCUCUUCCUCUUUCCCCUCCUCCUUCCUUCUCCUUCUUUUUCUUUUUGGA